ACGGAAGGCAGCAGUGGGGAGUAUUGCACAAUGGGGGAAACCCUGAUGCAGCGACGCCGCGUGAAGGAAGAAGUAUCUCGGUAUGUAAACUUCUAUCAGCAGGGAAGAUAAUGACGGUACCUGACUAAGAAGCCCCGGCUAACUACGUGCCAGCAGCCGCGGUAAUACGUAGGGGGCAAGCGUUAUCCGGAUUUACUGGGCGUAAAGGGAGCGUAGACGGAGAAGCAAGUCUGAUGUGAAAGGCAUGGGCUCAACCUGUGGACUGCAUUGGAAACUGUUUUUCUUGAGUGCCGGAGGGGUAAGCGGAAUUCCUAGUGUAGCGGUGAAAUGCGUAGAUAUUAGGAGGAACACCAGUGGCGAAGGCGGCUUACUGGACGGUAACUGACGUUGAGGCUCGAAAGCGUGGGGAGCAAACAGGAUUAGAUACCCUGGUA
rnacentral:rRNA from 1 species